rnacentral:rRNA from 1 species
GAUUGAACGCUGGCGGUAUGCUUAACACAUGCAAGUCGAACGGAAACGAUACUAGCUUGCUAGUAGGCGUCGAGUGGCGGACGGGUGAGUAACGCGUAGGAAUCUGCCUGAUAGUGGGGGAUAGCCCGAAGAAAUUCGGAUUAAUACCGCAUAAUCUAUUCGUAGUAAAGUGGGGGACUUUCGAGCCUCACGCUAUCAGAUGAGCCUGCGUAAGAUUAGCUAGUUGGUAGGGUAAAAGCCUACCAAGGCUACGAUCUUUAGCUGGUCUGAGAGGAUGAUCAGCCACAUCGGGACUGAGACACGGCCCGAACUCCUACGGGAGGCAGCAGUGGGGAAUAUUGGACAAUGGGGGCAACCCUGAUCCAGCAAUACCGCGUGUGUGAAGAAGGCCUGAGGGUUGUAAAGCACUUUCAAUUGUGAAGAAAAGUUAACGGUUAAUAACCGUUAGCCUUGACGUUAACUUUAGAAGAAGCACCGGCUAACUCCGUGCCAGCAGCCGCGGUAAUACGGAGGGUGCAAGCGUUAAUCGGAAUUACUGGGCGUAAAGCGUGCGUAGGCGGUUUAUUAAGUCAGAUGUGAAAGCCCCGGGCUUAACCUGGGAACUGCAUUUGAAACUGGUCAACUAGAGUAUGGUAGAGGAAAGUGGAAUUUCUGGUGUAGCGGUGAAAUGCGUAGAUAUCAGAAGGAACAUCAAUGGCGAAGGCAGCUUUCUGGACCAAUACUGACGCUGAGGUACGAAAGCGUGGGUAGCAAACAGGAUUAGAUACCCUGGUAGUCCACGCCGUAAACGAUGAUAACUAGCCGUUGGGGGGAUUUACCCUUUAGUGGCGAAGCUAACGCGUUAAGUUAUCCGCCUGGGGAGUACGGCCGCAAGGUUAAAACUCAAAGGAAUUGACGGGGACCCGCACAAGCGGUGGAGCAUGUGGUUUAAUUCGAUGCAACGCGAAGAACCUUACCUGGUCUUGACAUCCUGCGAACUUUCUAGAAAUAGAUUGGUGCCUUCGGGAACGCAGUGACAGGUGCUGCAUGGCUGUCGUCAGCUCGUGUCGUGAGAUGUUGGGUUAAGUCCCGUAACGAGCGCAACCCCUAUCCUUAUUUGCCAGCACGUCAUGGUGGGAACUAUAAGGAGACUGCCGGUGAUAAACCGGAGGAAGGCGGGGACGACGUCAAGUCAUCAUGGCCCUUACGACCAGGGCUACACACGUGCUACAAUGGGAAGGACAAAGAGCCGCGAAGCCGCGAGGUGUAGCUAAUCUCAGAAACCUUUUCGUAGUCCGGAUUGGAGUCUGCAACUCGACUCCAUGAAGUCGGAAUCGCUAGUAAUCGUAGAUCAGAAUGCUACGGUGAAUACGUUCCCGGGUCUUGUACACACC